UACGGAGGGUGCAAGCGUUGUCCGGAAUCACUGGGCGUAAAGGGCGCGUAGGCGGCUCAUGAAGGCUGUGGUGAAAGUCCGGGGCGCAACCUCGGAUCGGCCGUGGCGACUCGUGGGCUGGAGCACUGUAGAGGCGGGUGGAAUUCCGGGUGUAGCGGUGGAAUGCGUAGAGAUCCGGAAGAACACCGGUGGCGAAGGCGGCCUGCUGG
rnacentral:rRNA from 1 species